rnacentral:rRNA from 1 species
AUUGAUUUUAUGCUUGCAUAAAUGAUUUUUGGAUUCGGAGCGAGUGGCGAACUGGUGAGUAACACGUGGGUAACCUGCCCCGAAGUGGGGGAUAACAUUUGGAAACAAGUGCUAAUACCGCAUAAUUAGUUGGAACCGCAUGGUUCCAACUUGAAAGGUGGCUCUGCUAUCACUUUGGGAUGGACCCGCGCCGUAUUAGUUAGUUGGUGAGAUAAAAGCCCACCAAGACGAUGAUACGUAGCCGACCUGAGAGGGUAAUCGGCCACAUUGGGACUGAGACACGGCCCAGACUCCUACGGGAGGCAGCAGUAGGGAAUCUUCCACAAUGGACGAAAGUCUGAUGGAGCAACGCCGCGUGAGUGAUGAAGGUUUUCGGAUCGUAAAACUCUGUUGUUAAAGAAGAACAAGUGUUAGAGUAACUGUUAACACUUUGACGGUAUUUAACCAGAAAGCCACGGCUAACUACGUGCCAGCAGCCGCGGUAAUACGUAGGUGGCAAGCGCUGUCCGGAUUUAUUGGGCGUAAAGCGAGCGCAGGCGGUUUUGUAAGUCUGCUGUGAAAGCCCUCAGCUCAACCGAGGAAGUGCAGUGGAAACUACAAAACUUGAGUGCAGAAGGGGAAAGUGGAGCUCCAUGUGUAGCGGUGAAAUGCGUAGAUAUAUGGAAGAACACCAGUGGCGAAGGCGGCUUUCUGGUCUGUUACUGACGCUGAGGCUCGAAAGCAUGGGUAGCGAACAGGAUUAGAUACCCUGGUAGUCCAUGCCGUAAACGAUGAAUACUAGGUGUUGGAGGGUUUCCGCCCUUCAGUGCCGCAGCUAACGCAUUAAGUAUUCCGCCUGGGGAGUACGACCGCAAGGUUGAAACUCAAAGGAAUUGACGGGGGCCCGCACAAGUGGUGGAGCAUGUGGUUUAAUUCGAUGCUACGCGAAGAACCUUACCAGCUCUUGACAUCAUCUGCCAACCCAAGAGAUUGGGCGUUCCCUUCGGGGACAGAAUGACAGGUGGUGCAUGGUUGUCGUCAGCUCGUGUCGUGAGAUGUUGGGUUAAGUCCCGCAACGAGCGCAACCCUUAUUAUUAGCUGCCAGCAUUUAGUUGGGCACUCUAGUGAGACUGCCGGUGAUGAA